UUUUAUGGAUGAGCAAAGAAAGUGGUUUCUUGGGAUGGAAUCUACUCUUGAAGAUGCUGCGAA
rnacentral:pre_miRNA from 1 species